ensembl:lncRNA
GGCAAAGUCAGCGCAGCCGGUAGCCCCUCCCCCAGCCCCCAACCCCAGCUGUAGACGAAAGAACACGAAAUCUGGUAACUCCGAGCAGACUUUAUGACCUGAUAGCCAUCACUAUUUACCCAGGUAAAUCGAGCCACAGUUAAAGUUUGAAAAACAGAAACAAACACAACAAGCAAGGCCGGAAACGGAACGAGUUGCAGCGACUGCGCUGAGGUGUCGGUGCGGAGGGCAGGUUUGUAUACUGACAAGAGAAAUACACGAAUUUUAUUAGGAUUUUGUGCAGAUUUCAACAAUGUGAUUCCAGAACUAAAUGGAAUAAACAAAAGGCUGCGGUGAAGGCUCGUGAACAGGCAUAUUCAACAAGGCCAAUCCUCUUCCUGUAUGCAUGCCUUGCUUUGGAGACCCACUGAAUUCAGCCAGCAUCAUCUGCGUGGCCCUGGGCUCGGAACUGAAAACACCGUGGCAUGCAGUGGGAGAUGCAGUUCCACAGCCCUCGGCCUUUAGUGUGCAGCAGAAGAAACAACAGUCACUGCUUUUCCUUUCCCAUGGAGGUAUUCGGCCUUUGCCUGAAAGGUGUAACAUGUGUCCUCUUUUGGCUUAGAUCUGAUCUCUGUGUUCCCUUUCCUGUAACCAGGGUCAACAAAACACUGUGUCAGAUAUUGGUAAGGUUUAGAAAAUUCUUCCGGACUCCUGUAGUAAACCUUCCGGACGACAAGGCAAAUAAAGUCAGAUUUGCUCAUGGCUUGCUGGAUGUGAGAAACAUUAGCAUCACUUUUGAGCUUUCCAGAAAUUUAUCAGCUACUUAUGUAGACAUAUUACGCUGUCUUGAUUUAAAUUAUUAAUUGUUCUCACUCCUGGUUCUAUCUAAGUGAUUUAAACCAGGUUCCUUUAUGACAGAAAGAAGGCACGCUCUCUGAAAAAGGACUAAUUCUAAAACGGUUUUAGUUUGUCUUCGUAAGUGAAUGAUCAAAAUAAUUAGUGAUCACAAGUGAUUUGAUCAUUUAUCAUGUAAUAUUAACAAGCAGUGGGUCAAAGUGUGAGAGGAGAACUUAUGUGCCACAGAGUAGCAAUAUUUUUGUGCUAUGGUUUACAUUGUUAAGCAAACUAAAAUAAGCAAAUCUUCAUGCCAGGGUCUUAGUUAAUGUCAUCUUGCUUGGCUGAGAAGCCCACACCAUCUCUGAGCAGACAUAUUUUAAGAGAGCAUUAGGGCAUGCAUAUUUUUAGGAUGCUAAUAGACUCUCACCCCCUUUGAUUUUAGCUGCCAGAAAUUAUGAUUCAUAGUUCUUGAUAACACAGAACAGAAAACAUUGCAAAGGGAGAGAAAUUCUAACAGAUUGCUUAGGGAUGAUUUCUGAGUGUCAGUUGAUCAAACGUUUCUCUUUCAUUCCUUCAGCAAAAUGUGCACUUCUGUUUUGAAAAAUUAGUACAGAAAAAUCUUUAUUUUUUUCCCUUCUAAUACCUUCCAACCAUUAACAACUUUGCAAUCG